GGAAAGUUCACCUAGUCCUCCGGUCCUGACAACAGUCAGACCAUUUCUCAGCAGAGGCUGGAGCCAAACAAAGGUGCUGUGACUAAAGACGUGGGCCGACAUUGCCAGACAGAACACCGUGUCUUAAAAGAAAACAGUAAACGGUUGAUGGGGCCACUCCCUGACUGGAACUGCUUAGCUUUGCAACCUCUUUCCCUCUUUUAAACCUACACCUUGUGUUGGGGCCCCAAAGAUGGAUUUGGGGGUCACUGGGGCUGUUUAUCUGAUGUCUAUGCUCCUCAGCAUGAUUCUGUCUCUCACUGUCCUGUCGGAGCAAGUAGCUGAACCUGGCAUGUCACUGUCUCCAUGCUCUGACCUGACAACUUAAGUGACACUUCCAUCCAGUGUCCACUUUACAGUCCCCUGAGGUUGGGUGGCCUCCCCUGGGCCUUUCUGCAGCCCUCCCAUAGCUAAAUGUCUCUGGUGAGGAUUCCAGACUGGCAAAACCUUUCGGUGCACGUACCCACGACGCAAGGGACGCUGGGAAAAUAAGUCUUCUGGCAUCUCUCAGGGCAGGGAAACUCCCUCUGCGUGGGCCAGAUGCUGGAGGCUAGGAAGUGGGGCAAAGGUCAGCUCUCCAGGUAAAGGCCUGGCUGGGCCUGCACAGGAAUGCAGGAAGGAUUCCAGCACCUUCCUGGACCGGGGUGAACCUCUCCUCAGCUCAAGUCAGAGAACAGCACAGAGAGGGCUGGCAUGUUUAUGUCACCUAGUUCUGCAAGGAUAAGGGAGAGCCAGGGCCCAGACCACAACAUCAGUGCCUCCAGUGGCUGGGAGCCCAGGCUUGCACGGGUGUUCAGAAACUACAGUGCGUGGGUAGAGGCCAUUUCUCUCCAGAAAUGAAGUUCUAGCUCCUUCAAGGCUCCAGGCCUGGCUUUGUCUAUUGGUUGGGUCUUCUUCCAUAGGAGAGAAAAGUCCUCAGGCCCUCGUUGGAGCAAAGCACAGUAAAAAGAAAGCUCCUGCAUAUUAACACAGCACAGCAAGGCUUCUGGUCGACUUCAAAACGAUAAGAGCAGAUGAGAGCAAUGGUCACAGAAAAAAAGAAGCCGUGUAACUGGUGUCAAGAUGCCGCACAGGCAUCAGAAUGAGAAGCUGGAGGCAGCUCUCUG
rnacentral:lncRNA from 1 species